UGGCAACCCUGCAUCGAGCAAGUCCAUCAACACCAUUUUCCCAACAGCAUGUGCUUGCUUCAUGUCUCUGUGUCAGCAUUUUGUCAUCGAGGGGCAUGAUCUGGAGACCACCCUGCAGCUUUAUGAGUCCAGGGUUGAGCCUGUCACCCUGCCAUGGGAGGAUGGAAGACAUGGACAUCGAAGAAGAGAUGGACUUGACUAGCUAUUGGUAAUACAGCUGCUACUUGUCAAAGGGGCAGAAUUCUGCUGUGGAACCUGAGGAGAGGUACAAGGGAUGGAAAUGUUCUCUCCAUGGAUGGGGAUGGAGGUCUGAGCUGACACAAAGCUGGUCAAUAAAAAUGCAAGUGACCAGAGAAAUGAAGUCCUGAUGCAUGCUACAACAUGGAUGAACCUUGACACCAUCACGCUGAGCCAAAUCAGUCAGAUGCAAAAGGACAGAAACUGCUCAAUGCAGAGAAGUAUCGUUUUACCCCAGCACUGCCCCCUCUACUAGGGAACUGGAGAAGAAGCAGAAAUUGCCAGACAACUCUCAAGGCCUUGGGCAAAGAACAGAUGACACUUUCCUGGACAAAAAGGAAAAAGUAUCUGGGUGAGAGAAAUAGGGUGGGGCCGGUUAAGCCUGCAUUCCGCUACUGGAUUUAGAUGAAAAUACCAAGCUGUUUUCAAGAACUCUGGAUUAAACUGCCUCCCUCACCCUGGAUCCGGGGAAGCCUGCCUUGAGGAAAUGAAAGCAGAAAGAUUUGGGAGCUGAGAGUUAAGUUGAAC